rnacentral:tRNA from 1 species
GGAUAGGUGUCCGAGCGGCCUAAGGAGACGGUCUUGAAAACCGUUGUGGGGCAACCCACCGCGAGUUCGAAUCUCGCCCCGUCCG